UCUGAGCUACAAUCACCCAGGACACUCAGGAGUCCAGCUGCUCAAACACAAACGGGAGGAACCAGACUAUAAACUGCAGAUACUCAAUUUGAAUCAUGGAGAACGUUUCAGGAUCAGACCAGGACUGCAAAAAUAUGCCUGUGAUCUCACACUGGAUCCAAACACUGCAAACACUUACAUCAUUCUGUCUGAGGA